CCUUAUCAUCAAUGUGUUGACAGAAAAGUCUACAGUUGUGCUUCAACAAGAUCUAGCAGAAACUUCUUUUGAGACGAAUGUGUCGGACACCUUAUCUUCUGUGCCAUCUGAUUCAUCUGAUGCAACAAUAAUUCUUGAGAAAGAUAGUGGGGUGAAAAGGACCCACGCCGAUCGGGAAUCAGCAGAAGCAAUGGUGAGAGAUAUUCUUCAGUCCAAGCCAGGGGGAGAAAAAGUGUUGAUGAAUAUAACAAAACGAAGACACUGACAGAUGGUACACGGC